rnacentral:rRNA from 1 species
GAUGAACGCUGGCGGCGUGCCUAAUACAUGCAAGUCGAGCGAACAGACGAGGAGCUUUCCCCUUUUCCGUUUGCGUCGGACAGGUGAGUAACACGCGGAUAACCUACCUCUAAGACUGGGAUAACUUCGGGAAACCGGAGCUAAUACCGGACAAUAUAUUUAAUCGCGUGGUUCAAUAGAGAAAAACGGUUUUGCCGUCACUUAAACAUGGAUUCGCGCCGCAUUAGCUAGUUGGUAAGGUAACGGCUUACCAAGGCAACGAUGCGUAGCCGACCGAAGAGGGUGAUCGGCCACACGGGAACUGAGACACGGUCCAGACUCCUACGGGAGGCAGCAGUAGGGAAUCUUCCGCAAGGGGCGAAAUCCUGACGGAGCAACGCCGCGGGAGUGAGGAAGGUUUUGGGAUCGUAAGACCCUGUUAUUGGGGAAGAACAAAUGUGUAAGUAACGAUGCACGUCUUGACGGUACCUAAUCAGAAAGCCACGGCUAACUACGUG